CGAUCUUGAUCUAUCUCGUUUGAUUUUAGAGGAGAAUCAAGAAGGAACUCUCUCUCUAAUCCGCUGUUCAUCAUCUUCAAUCGGUGUCGCUGUUCUGAUUCUUAGCCGUGACGAGAGAGAGACCUAACGUGCCGUUGAGAGUUUGGGUUGUUGGUUAUGGGUUUCAGUGUGGUUUACAUAUGGCUUGUGUUUGUGCUGAGUAUAGGCGGAGGAGACAGCGGCGUGGGAGAGGUUUGCGUCACCGCUCUUCUUCUUCUUCUUCUUCGGAUGAGGAUGGUGGUGGUCUUGGGUUUACGAAUUCGUCGCAGCAGAAUGUUUCGUUAGCUCAAUUGGACGAUAGAGGAAGUACUACUAGAACAUGGUCGCAAUUGAUCUUUUGGUCGCAAUUGAACAUGGUCGAAUCAUAAAGCUUUUGGAUCCUGUAGCGGUACUGGUCGUGGUACUGAUCUAAAAUGUGAGGGUGGUGGUCGUGGAAACUGGAGAACUAUUGAAGAUGACAUUGCAUCCUGGUCUUCAGUUUAAUUUUCCAUUCCAUAUGUCUUGAACUCUAGGCUGUUUAAAAACUAAUGUUUGUGAUACAUUAGAGCUACUGAGAGGAACCCACCACGGAGGUUGAGAAGAGCCCUCCUGUUGCUGAGAAGCAAGGAGGUGAGGAUGAAACCCGCUGAUGCAACCAAAGAAGCCGAAGAGCAAGCACAAAAAGAAGCUGAAGACAAGGAGAUGUCUCUGGAAGAAUUUCCAGAGUAUGAGAAAAUCCUCGAGGAUAAGAAGAAGGCUCUGCAAGCCACUAAGGUCGAGGAAAGAAAAGUGACACCAAAGUGUUUGAGUCCAUGCAACAGCUUUCUAACAAGAAGACUACCGAGGAGAAAAUAUUCGUCAAGCUGGGAUCUGACAUGGACAAACACAAAUGCUGCCAAAGAAGACCAAAAAGAUUUGGUAUCAGAGCUAUGGGAGAUAUCGUGGAAGCAGCAAAGAUGGUGGAUGGAGGAGGAUCCUCUUCUCUUAAGUGUCCCAUGUUGAAUUCCUCAAACUAUACAGUUUGGGCGAUGAAGAUGAGGAUCCUUCUAAACAUACACAAGGUGUGGUCAAUCAUUGAAGAACCAAAGGAUGAUAAUGACAUGAAUGAUAUGGCGCUAGGUUUGUUGUUUCUAUCUAUUCCAGAAGCUCUUAUUCUGCAGGUCAGAGAGCUUGAUACUACAAAGAAAGUGUGGGAUGCGAUUCAGUCGAGACACGUGGGAGCAGAAAGGGUUAAAGAAGCAAGACUGCAGACGUUAAUGGCCGAGUUUGAUCGACUCAAGAUGAAGGAUACAGAGAGAAUCAAUGACUUCGCUGGAAAACUGUCCGAGAUAUCCUCAAAAUCUGCAGCUCUUGGAGAAAUCAUUGAUCAAUCGAAGCUUGUGAAGAAAUUCCUCAAGUGUCUGCCUCAGACGAAAUAUAUUCACAUUGUAGCUUCAUUAGAGCAAGUCUUGGACCUUAACAAGACCAGUUUUGAAGAAAUUAUUGGUCGUUUAAAAGUAUAUGAAGAACGUGUUGUAGAAGAAGAAGAAGAAUCAACAACAACAGAUCAAGGUCAAACCAAGCUAUUAUACGCAAACAAUGAUACACAGUCCAGCUAUUCGCCAGUUCCGGUUGCUGCUCCACCAACUCGUGAUUACAAUAGUAACUAUAGAGGUAGAAGUCGAGGAGGACGCUACUACAGGGGAAGAGGUCGAGGGGGAUCUUAUAAGGCUAGAGAUCUGUCCGAGGUGACAUGUUUUCGAUGUGAUAAGCAGGGACACUUUGCCUCAAGAUGUCCUGAUCGCCUUCUUAAACUUCAAGAAACACAAGAAAGGGAGAACAAUGAGACAGAGAAUCCAGAUGAGCUGAUGCUGCAUGAGAUAGUGUUUCUGAAUGAAAAGAAGGUUGUACCAAGCAAAUAUGAGUUGCAUAGAGGAGAAGAUGAUUUGUGGUAUCUUGACAAUGGAGCGAGUAAUCACAUGACUGGUGAUCUAAGAUAUUUCUCAAAGGUUGACUAUUCGAUUACUGGAGAAGUAAAAUUUGGUGAUGAUUUGAGAAUAAAUAUCAAGGGGAAAGGCACUGUGAAGUUUACUGAUGAGAAGGGUGAACUACGGACAUUAACCAAUGUUUACUAUAUACCAGGCCUUAAGAGCAAUAUCAUUAGCCUUGGCCAAGCCACAAAAUCAGGUUAUGAUGUGAGGAUGAAGGGAGAGUACUUGACAGUACACGAUCAAGAAGGAAAGUUGCUUGUUAAAUCGCCAAAGUCUAGAAAUCAACUUUACAGAGUUCGUAUGGGGAUUAAGAGUGAUGUGUGUUUACAGUUUGAAGUAUCAAGUGAUUCAUAUACAUGGCAUGCGAGAAUGGGGCAUGUCAACUUCGAGUCAAUAAAAUCAAUGAUUCAGAAAGAGUUAGUCACCGGAGUUCCACAUAUACAACUUGAAAGAAGAAUCUGCAGUUCAUGUCUAUUUGACAAAUGUUUCCUCAAGCAACUACCUUUCGAGCAACCACGGCGUUAGAAUUGGUUCAUGGUGAUUUGUGUGGUCCAAUAACACCAAGUACUGCGGCUGGGAACAAAUAUGUUUUUGUUCUUAUUGAUGAUCAUUCUAGAUAUAUGUGGACAAUUCUCUUGAAAGAGAAAAGUGAGGCUUUCAACAAGUUCAAGAAGUUUAAGGCAGUGGUGGAGCAAGAAACAGGGAAGCACAUACAAACUUUCAGAACAGAUAGAGGCGGAGAGUUUAUGUCACAUGAGUUUGACUCUUUCUGCAGUGACAAUGGUAUUAAGAGGCAGCUCACGGCUCCAUACACCCAUCAGCAAAACGGUGUUGUUGAAAGACGCAAUAGAACUUUGAUGGAGAUGACUAGGAGCAUCCUAAAGCACAUGUUUGUUCCAAAUUACUUAUGGGGAGAAGCAGUACGCCAUGCUACAUAUCUUCUCAACAGGUUAGCUACAAGGUCGCUGAAUGAGAAGACUCCGUAUGAGGCGUUUCAUGGAAGAAAACCUAAUCUCAGCCAUCUUCGAGUGUUUGGUUGCAUAAGAUUUGCUAAGAUGGAGCAGCCUCACUUGAAGAAACUCGAGGACAGAUCACGAAUGCUGGUACACUUGGGUACAGAACCAGGAUCAAAAGCAUACCGUUUGUUUGAUCCUAAAACUCGAAAGGUUGUGGUUAGUCGUGAUGUUAUUUUUGAUGAAACACGAAGCUGGGACUGGGAUAAGAGACAUUUAGAACAGGGUGAAGUCGGAGGUUUCAGGAUCAAUGUAGGAGGUUUUGGUAAUCAUGGCAUUCAAGGAGCAGAGUUCGAAACAGAGCAAGGUGAAGUCAGGUCAGAAUCUGAUAAUCAUGAUGAUGGUGGAAAUAGUGAUAAUGUUGAUGACAAUGACGAAGAGGUGUCAGAACAACCAGUGAUACUAAGAAGAACUACGAGACAUAGGACGAAACCGGCACACCUUGAGGACUAUGUCUUACCGGAUCAUCUGGAUAAGUAUGCUCUGUUUGUUGAGGAAGAAGGAGAGCGAUUGUUGAUGUGCCUAAACAAUGAGCCAAGAGAUUAUUAUGAAGCACAAGAAUCAUAAAAAUGGAUGAAGGCAUGUGAGGAGGACAUACACUCUAUUGUUAAGAAUCACACUUGGAAUCUUGUUGAUCUUCCAAUUGGGGCAAAGCCAAUAGGUCUGAAGUGGGUCUUUAAGCUCAAAAGGAACUCUGAUGGCAGCAUAAACAAGUACAAAGCUAGGCUUGUAGCUAAGGGAUAUGUACAGAGGUAUGGUAUUGAUUUUGAAGAGGUGUUUGCUCCGGUUGCGCGAAUCGAAACAAUUCGUCUUCUGAUUAGUCUUGCAGCAACGAAUGGAUGGGAGAUACACCAUCUUGACGUGAAGACAGCAUUUCUUCAUGGAGAACUGUAAGAAACUGUUUUCGUUACUCAGCCAGAGGGUUUUGAAGUAAGAGGCUCAUAGGACAAGGUUUACAAGUUGAAUAAAGCCUUGUACGGCUUAAAACAAGCACCAAGGGCUUGGAAUGAUAAGCUAAAUCAAAUUCUCAAGGAUCUGCAGUUUAAGAGGUGUACUAAAGAGCCGUCGGUUUAUCGGAAAAGAGUGGAUCAAGGUUUUAUUGUUGUCACAGUAUAUGUUGAAGAUCUGUUUGUGUCAAGAACAGAUAUAAGAGUCAUAGAGGACUUUAAAAAAGAGAUGGCAACUAAAUUUGAGAUGAGUGAUCUCGGAAGAUUAACCUACUAUCUUGGGAUUGAGGUAUGUCAGCAUCAAGGAGGAAUUACAUUAAGCCAAGGUCGUUAUGCGUUGAAGAUAUUGGAAGAAGCAGGGAUGAAAGACUGCAAUAUGGUUCACACACCCAUGGAUGAGGGAUUGAAGUUGUCAAAGUCUCCAAAAGAAAAAGAUAUAGAUGCGACUAAGUAUAGGAAAACUGUUGGUUGUUUUCGUUAUUUGCUUCACACAAGGCUGGAUUUGUCAUACUGUGUUGGGGUGCUAAGUCGUUAUAUGCAGAAUCAGAAGGAGUCACAUGGUGUGGCAAUGAAGCAGUGUUUGAGAUACUUGCAAGGAACAACAACAUUUGGACUGACGUUUGCAAGAUCUACUUCACCAAGAGUUUCAACCGAGCUAGUUGGUUACAAUGACAGCAGUCACAAUGUGGAUCCAGACGAUGGCAAGAGCACGACUGGUCAUGUUUUCUAUCUAGGAGACAGCUUGAUCACUUGGUGUUCACAGAAGCAAGAUACGGUGGCGUUAUCUUCGUGUGAGGCUGAGUUCAUGGCCGGCACCGAAGAUAAAUAUAAACAGGAGAAAUUUGUUUGCUAAUUAAAAGUGUCUCAUCGUGUUGCUAUCCACAGUGGCAAGCAUUGCGCGUAGUGUUCAUUGGCGUGAAUAGAGAGUAGCCUGUUCCUUAUGAGUCUGUCAACGCGUUUGAUGAAUAGUGGAGGAGUUACAGGAGGUUCUCCAUGUCGGCGGUUAUUUCUCUCCUUCCAGAGGGAGUGUACUAUCGUAUGAAAAGUGUAUCGUAACAAGAAGAGAGCAGAUUUCCCCAAAGAGUUAUCCGUGAGGAGUUCCAGAAUGGUCUCCCAAUCUGUGGUGAAUGUGGUGUUGAGAAGCUUGGAGGCAAGGUCUGUCCAUAUUUCCGCCAAAUAGGAGCAAGUGAACAAAUGAUUCCGCGUUUCCUGAGUAGCAGAACAGAGGGCACAGGACGGGUCCACAAUUAUGCUCUAGGAUUGCAUGCGGUCUCCUGUUGUCAGUCGGUUUAGUGUUGCUAGUCAGACAAUGAAAGAGUAUUUGGAAGUAGCUUGAGAAAACCAAACUCCCUUGUACCUCCGCUGACCUUGAAUCCUAAUGUAUUCCCAUGUUUCUUUGGUGCGGAAACAUGGUUUAAAAGAAUCCCCUUUCCCCUUCCACAAGACUCUAUCAACAUUCUGAAUUAAGAACUUUACCAUUGGAGGUAUGCGCCAAGAGUUGACUGACAAUAUGUAUAGUCUUCGUCUAAAUCUAAGUUCAGCAAGGCAGUAAGAUUCGAUCGUGACUGAUUAUGUAUAUUUUAAUAUGUAUUCGUCAGCUAACUUGUAUAUAUACGUUGGUCUGGUUAAUAUAUGCAAAACACAAGAUUCAUGUUCA